rnacentral:rRNA from 1 species
GAUGAAUGCUGGCGGCGUGCCUAACACAUGCAAGUCGAGCGGCAGCGCGGGGUGCUUGCACCCUGUCGGCGAGCGGCGAACGGCUGAGUAACGCGUAGGAAUUUGCCCCAAAGUGAGGAAUAACUGCCCGAAAGGGUAGCUAAUGCCGCAUAUGGUCUUCGGAUUAAAGGAUUUAUCCGCUUUGGGAGAAGCCUGCGUUGGAUUAGGUUGUUGGUAGGGUAAUGGCCUACCAAGCCGACGAUCCAUAGCUGGUCUGAGAGGAUGAUCAGCCAGACUGGAACUGAGACACGGUCCAGACUCCUACGGGAGGCAGCAGUGAGGAAUCUUCCACAAUGGGCGAAAGCCUGAUGGAGCAACGCCGCGUGAAGGAUGAAGGCCUUCGGGUUGUAAACUUCUUUUAUGAGUGAAGAAUAUGACGGUAACUCAUGAAUAAGCACCGGAUAACUACGUG